UACGUAGGGUGCAAGCGUUGUCCGGAAUUAUUGGGCGUAAAGAGCUCGUAGGCGGCUUGUCGCGUCGGAUGUGAAAGCCCGGGGCUUAACUCCGGGUCUGCAUUCGAUACGGGCAGGCUAGAGUUCGGUAGGGGAGACUGGAAUUCCUGGUGUAGCGGUGGAAUGCGCAGAUAUCGGGAGGAACACCGGUGGCGAAGGCGGGUCUCUGGGCCGUAACUGACGCUGAGGAGCGAAAGCGUGGGGAGCGAACAGG
rnacentral:rRNA from 1 species